GACGGGGGAUGCAAGCGUAAUCCGGAAUCACUGGGCGUAAAGCGUCCGUAGGCGGUGAUGCAAGUCACUGGUGCAAAACUCUGGCUCAACCGGAGGAAAGCCAGUGAAACUGCAUGACUAGAGUGUGGGAGAGGUAGAAGGAAUUCCCUGAGUAGCGGUGAAAUGCGUAGAUACAGGGAAGAACACCGGAGGCGAAAGCGUUCUACUGGAACACAACUGACACGGAGUGACGAAAGCUAGGGGAGCGAAGGGG
rnacentral:rRNA from 1 species